rnacentral:lncRNA from 1 species
UACAGGCCAAGACAGGCCAGACUCAGCCCUUUGGUAAAUUGUGAUCAUCCACAUGCAGCACUUCCCUGCAGUCAGUGCCAUGUCUCCAAAUUCAUCUCCUGGCAAUUAUAUCCAGAAACAAUAAGGUUUUCUACUGAAAACAAAAGCUUGUUGAGACAACAGCAUAACUCCUGGAGGUCCAAAGGAGCUGAUCCUGCAGGUUUCCCUGUUCACACCAGUGAGGGACUUGGAGUCUGUCCAGUGCUUCUAUGAACUCCAAGUGCAUCCUGCUGCUGCCCACAGGUGAGUGUCAGCUUUGGGAGAGCCACACCCCAGCCUGUCAUGGUAC